AUUGAACGCUGGCGGCAGGCCUAACACAUGCAAGUCGAACGAGUGGCGGACGGGUGAGUAAUGUCUGGGAAACUGCCCGAUGGAGGGGGAUAACUACUGGAAACGGUAGCUAAUACCGCAUACCAUCGGAUGUGCCCAGAUGGGAUUAGCUAGUAGGUGGGGUAAAGGCUCACCUAGGCGACGAUCCCUAGCUGGUCUGAGAGGAUGACCAGCAACACUGGAACUGAGAAACGGUCCAGACUCCGAAGGGAGGCAGCAGUGGGGAAGAUUGCACAAUGGGCGCAAGCCUGAUGCAGCCAUGCCGCGUGUAUGAAGAAGGCCUUCGGGUUGUAAAGUACUUUCAGCGAGGAGGCGUUACCCGCAGAAGAAGCACCGGCUAACUCCGUGCCAGCCGCCGCGGUAAUAC
rnacentral:rRNA from 1 species